ACUCAAAUGAAUUGACGGGGGCCCGCACAAGCGGAGGAACAUGUGGUUUAAUUCGAUGAUACGCGAGGAACCUUACCCAGGCUAGAACGCAACGGGAAUAUAUUGGAAACAGUAUAGCUCUUCGGAGCCGGUUGCGAGGUGCUGCAUGGUUGUCGUCAGCUCGUGCCGUGAGGUGUCGGCUUAAGUGCCAUAACGAGCGCAACCCUUAUUGUUAGUUGCCAGCGGGUCAAGCCGGGGACUCUAGCAAAACUGCCAGCGUAAGCUGCGAGGAAGGUGGGGAUGACGUCAAAUCAGCACGGCCCUUACGUCUGGGGCUACACACGUGUUACAAUGGUAGAUACAGAGGGCAGCUACUUCGCGAGAAGAUGCUAAUCUCGAAAGUCUAUCUUAGUUCGGAUUGGAGUCUGCAACUCGACUCCAUGAAGCUGGAUUCGCUAGUAAUCGCAUAUCAGCCAUGAUGCGGUGAAUACGUUCCCGGGCCUUGUACACACCGCCCGU
rnacentral:rRNA from 1 species